rnacentral:rRNA from 1 species
AUUGAACGCUGGCGGCAUGCUUUACACAUGCAAGUCGAACGGUAACAGGCCUUCGGGUGCUGACGAGUGGCGAACGGGUGAGUAAUGCAUCGGAACGUACCCAGAGGUGGGGGAUAACGCAGCGAAAGCUGUGCUAAUACCGCAUGUGAUCUGAGGAUGAAAGCGGGGGACCGAGCAGCAAUGUUUGGCCUCGCGCCUUUGGAGCGGCCGAUGUCGGAUUAGCUAGUUGGUGGGGUAAAGGCCUACCAAGGCGACGAUCCGUAGCUGGUCUGAGAGGACGACCAGCCACACUGGGACUGAGACACGGCCCAGACUCCUACGGGAGGCAGCAGUGGGGAAUGUUGGACAGAGGGCGCAAGCCUGAUCCAGCAAUGCCGCGUGCGGGAAGAAGGCCUUCGGGUUGUAAACCGCUUUUGGCAGGAACGAAACGGUGUCCGCUAAUACCGAGCGCUAAUGACGGUACCUGCAGAAUAAGCACCGGCUAACUACGUG